CCUACGGGCGGCAGCAGUGGGGGAUAUUGCACAAUGGAGGAAACUCUGAUGCAGCGACGCCGCGUGAGGGAAGACGUUCUUCGGAUUGUAAACCUCUGUCUUUGGGGAAGAAAAUGACGGUACCUAAAGAGGAAGCUCCGGCUAACUACGUGCCAGCAGCCGCGGUAAUACGUAGGGAGCGAGCGUUGUCCGGAUUUACUGGGUGUAAAGGGAGCGUAGGCGGACGAGAAAGUUGGAUGUUAAAUCCACCGGCUUAACUGGUAGCUGCGUUGGAAACUUGUUGUCUUGAGUGAAGUAGAGGCAGGCGGAAUUCCUGGUGGAGCGGUGAAAUGCGUAGAUAUUAGGAGGAACACCAGUGGCGAAGGCGGCCUACUGGGCUUUAACUGACGCUGAGGCUCGAAAGCGUGGGGAGCAAACAGGAUUAGAUACCCGAGUAGUC
rnacentral:rRNA from 1 species